GACGAACGCUGGCGGCGUGCUUAACACAUGCAAGUCGAACGGAAAGGCCCUGCUUUUGUGGGGUGCUCGAGUGGCGAACGGGUGAGUAACACGUGAGUAACCUGCCCUUGACUUUGGGAUAACUUCAGGAAACUGGGGCUAAUACCGGAUAGGAGCUCCUGCUGCAUGGUGGGGGUUGGAAAGUUUCGGCUGUUGGGGAUGGACUCGCGGCUUAUCAGCUUGUUGGUGGGGUAGUGGCUUACCAAGGCUUUGACGGGUAGCCGGCCUGAGAGGGUGACCGGCGACAUUGGGACUGAGAUACGGCCCAGAAUCCUACGGGAGGCAGCAGUGGGGAAUAUUGCACAAUGGGCGGAAGCCUGAUGCAGCAACGCCGCGUGCGGGAUGACGGCCUUCGGGUUGUAAACCGCUUUCGCCUGUGACGAAGCGUGAGUGACGGUAAUGGGUAAAGAAGCACCGGCUAACUACGUG
rnacentral:rRNA from 1 species